rnacentral:lncRNA from 1 species
AAGGAAGUAGGAUAGCUUGGUGUUUAGGGUAUGUGAAGGAAAUUUCUAGAAACUGUGUUGGCAGAAAAGGACCAGAUAUGGGAAAAGUGAUACAUAAGUUGUUAACUAGGAGUUGUAGAUACAGUGAGUGCAUUGCUUUUAAAUUUUUUCUCAGCUUGUAGGUUCUGUUUGUGACUAUGUAGAUAUUCAAUAGUUGUUCCCUAUAAUCUUUUGCUUUUGAAUUAUUUAUGGGUCUUUGAUAGCCACUUUGCAUGUGGUUAGUUCUUAAUUCUGACAUAAAUUGAGAUGAGAAAUGUCUUAGAAAAUUAAUAUGGAAUGGAAAGUGUCCCAGAAAGCUGAACAUUAAAAAUAUCUUUUGGGAGACCUGUGCUCUGUAGGAGGGCUCACUUACUUUCCUCCUGUUUGGGGGACUAAAUGUUUGGAUGCUGCUGCUGACAAAUCCAAAACUCACACUUCUAGCCAAGAAGGUUACUGUGCUUUGGACCAGAGUUUGUUUUCCCAUCAGUGAGAAUGUUUACCUACAAAUGUUCGCUCUAAAUUAUGUGAUUUUUUUAUAGUCUGUCUCUGCUUAAUACAUGAAAAAUUAGACUGUAGCUUUGCAGUAAGAAGGCCCUACUUUGCUCAGCUGUUUUUGUGUAAGGAAGAAUGGAUCGGCACUCUAGCAAAUAAAAAGCCACUAAUGUUAUUACAUGUUCACAAAUGACUGUGGCAAUUAAUUACAUAUACAGAUUAUCCUCUUUAUUUUUUUAUAAGAGGUUCUAAUGUGCAAGAUGAUUUCUUUGUAUGGGCUUUUAAUGGCUAAAUUCUUCAUAUAAACUGAAGAGUAGCAGAAAAGCUACAGAAUACAAGGUCAAAAAGUAUUCAGUGUAAUCUGUAAAUGAGUGGCUAUAAAGUGUCUGUAUGGAAUAUUGUACUGUCUGGGAUCUGGAUGCUUCUUUCACUGCAUCUGUUUUAAAGCUAACAGUGAAACAACAGCUUUAAGGUGUGAAUGGGAUCUGCUGUAGGAUCCUUCAAAAGCGAUGGUCUCAGGGCUUCCUGUGCCUGUGGGCUUUCCUAAUAGCUCCUCUGUCACUCUCUUUACUUAUGCUCAAACAACAAUUUUACUUGUAGUCAAACAAAAACUACUUUACUUUGUUUUCCACUGCAGCGUUGUGGGUUACGAUGGGAAGAUGAUGACAUCAGUAACGGACUCUUUUUGCUUUGGCUUUCACAAUAAAAAUAAAGUACAAUCUGGUCAGCAAGAAA